rnacentral:tmRNA from 1 species
GGGGGCGAUUUGGAUUCGACGCCGGUUACAAAACCCUGGGUGCAUGCCGAGAUGGCGACCAAUCUCGUAAAUCCAAAGUCGCAAAUUAUAGUUGCCAACGACGACAACUACGCACUCGCCGCUUAAUACCCGGUAGGGUGCCAUCUGACCGGAGCCGUGCUUGUGCGUCCGGAGCCUUUCGGGGCUAUCAGGUGUCAUAUCUCACAUGAUCGCGAUGAAGCUCGUCCGGGGUGGAUUCGUUAAAAACUCACCGGAAUCGCGGUUUGCGCGCCCUGUCUGUCGGGUUGCAACCCGCUAAAUUUAAUAGACUGNACUAAGCAUGUAGAUCCCUCGGCAGAGGACUGACGGACGCGGGUUCAAUUCCCGCCGCCUCCACCA